UUUUGCUUUGGGUUUUCCCUCCUAUAAAUGUUUUAAAAGGUAGAAACAGAAAGUUUUUUGAAGAAAUACCUUUAAAAUACAUCGUGAAUUUUGAGGAAAAAUCAACAAACAAAGCCUGACUGCACCAGCUUUUCUUUAAAAAAACAAAAAAGGUCUAAGUAUUUUUCGGUUUGUAAAAGUUACCCCAGGAGUUUGGUUUUCUUUGUUAACAGUCUUUUCUCUGUUUGUAAAUAAUAAGUCUCAACUAAGUCUUCAGUCCUGAGACAUACCCCUCCCCUCUACCUUUCACUUAAACUUUUUAUAUUUCUAAUUUUGGAUUUCUUUCAGGAUCCAGGCAGUUGAGACAGGAUACUCCAAAUAAGGAACCUAACCCACCCAUCCUGACCACAAGUAACCCUUUGAAGGGUUCCUGCCAGGUUCCAUCUUUUUCAAAAUCCUUAUGUCUUAGAAGAAGAGAUGAGACUUCCCAUAUUUACAUGUUCCUUUUUUUUGCAUAGUCACCACAUACCGACGAGAUGAAGUUUCAAGAAGGCAGGCAAGGGACACAGGAAGUGGGAGCCCUUCCCCAGGCGCCUCCCCCCCCCCCCCGCGCCCAGCCUCGACCGGAAGGACCUCGGAUGUCGGUCACCGUUACCGUGUGACUCCUUUAGGAGUCUUUGUUCUUUUGUAUAUAUUGUACCCUUUUGAAUAAAGACUUCAGUUAGCCUCUUACACAGCACCUGAUGAAGCCUCUGGCUGAAAGCGCUAGUGCUUUGAGUUAACUGUUAAUUUUAAGGAUUUACAUGGUGUCUUUGAAAAGGGUCCUGCUGGAAGAUCCUGUGGGGUACCAAACUGUCCUCGGAGCUUUUCCUGGUAGCCUCUGGUGGACAGCACUCUCACCCCUCUGGAAAAUUAGCAGUUCUCAUUUUUUCUGGCACUGAUAUUUGUGAACUGUAUACAGGAGCUUUUACAUAGAAUAAGUUUAUAUAUGUUUAAGGAAUAAAGAGAGAAAUAAGGUGA